GACGAACGCUUGCGGCGUGCUUAACACAUGCAAGUCGAACGGAAAGGCCCUGCUUUUGUGGGGUGCUCGAGUGGCGAACGGGUGAGUAACACGUGAGUAACCUGCCCUUGACUUUGGGAUAACUUCAGGAAACUGGGGCUAAUACCGGAUAGGAGCUCCUGCUGCAUGGUGGGGGUUGGAAAGUUUCGGCGGUUGGGGAUGGACUCGCGGCUUAUCAGCUUGUUGGUGGGGUAGUGGCUUACCAAGGCUUUGACGGGUAGCCGGCCUGAGAGGGUGACCGGCCACAUUGGGACUGAGAUACGGCCCAGACUCCUACGGGAGGCAGCAGUGGGGAAUAUUGCACAAUGGGCGGAAGCCUGAUGCAGCAACGCCGCGUGCGGGAUGACGGCCUUCGGGUUGUAAACCGCUUUCGCCUGUGACGAAGCGUGAGUGACGGUAAUGGGUAAAGAAGCACCGGCUAACUACGUGCCAGCAGCCGCGGUGAUACGUAGGGUGCGAGCGUUGUCCGGAUUUAUUGGGCGUAAAGGGCUCGUAGGUGGUUGAUCGCGUCGGAAGUGUAAUCUUGGGGCUUAACCCUGAGCGUGCUUUCGAUACGGGUUGACUUGAGGAAGGUAGGGGAGAAUGGAAUUCCUGGUGGAGCGGUGGAAUGCGCAGAUAUCAGGAGGAACACCAGUGGCGAAGGCGGUUCUCUGGGCCUUUCCUGACGCUGAGGAGCGAAAGCGUGGGGAGCGAACAGGCUUAGAUACCCUGGUAGUCCACGCUGUAAACGGUGGGUACUAGGUGUGGGGUCCAUUCCACGGGUUCCGUGCCGUAGCUAACGCUUUAAGUACCCCGCCUGGGGAGUACGGCCGCAAGGCUAAAACUCAAAGGAAUUGACGGGGCCCCGCACAAGCGGCGGAGCAUGCGGAUUAAUUCGAUGCAACGCGUAGAACCUUACCUGGGUUUGACAUGGAUCGGGAGUGCUCAGAGAUGGGUGUGCCUCUUUUGGGGUCGGUUCACAGGUGGUGCAUGGCUGUCGUCAGCUCGUGUCGUGAGAUGUUGGGUUAAGUCCCGCAACGAGCGCAACCCUUGUUCACUGUUGCCAGCACGUUAUGGUGGGGACUCAGUGGAGACCGCCGGGGUCAACUCGGAGGAAGGUGGGGAUGACGUCAAGUCAUUAUGCCCCUUAUGUCCAGGGCUUCACGCAUGCUACAAUGGCUGGUACAGAGAGUGGCGAGCCUGUGAGGGUGAGCGAAUCUCGGAAAGCCGGUCUCAGUUCGGAUUGGGGUCUGCAACUCGACCUCAUGAAGUCGGAGUCGCUAGUAAUCGCAAAUCAGCAACGCUGCGGUGAAUACGUUCCCGGG
rnacentral:rRNA from 1 species